GACGAACGCUGGCGGCGUGCCUAAUACAUGCAAGUCGAACGCAGUGGGGACGGGUGAGUAACACGUGGGUAACCUCCCAUCAGAGGGGAUAACACUUGGCAACAGGUGCUAAACCGAUCCUGAUGGAUGGACCCGCCGUGCAUUAGCUAGUUGGUGAGGUAACGGCCGACCAGGGCCACGAUGCAUAGCAGACCAGAGAGGGUGAUGGGCCAGACUGGAACUGAAACACGGCCCAGUCUCCUACGGGAGGCAGCAGUGGAGAAUCUUCGACAAUGGACGAAAGACUGACCGAGCAACGCCGCGUGAGUGAAGAAGGUUUUCGGAUCGUAAAACUCUGUUGUUAGGGAAGCGGUAUCUAACGAGAAAGCCACGGCUAACUACGUGCCAGCAGCCGCGGUAAUAC
rnacentral:rRNA from 1 species